AGAGUUUGAUCCUGGCUCAGGACGACGCUGGCGGCGUGCUUAACACAUGCAAGUCGAACGGGGUAUGCGAGGAGCUUGCUUUGAGCAUACUUAAGUGGCGGACGGGUGAGUAACGCGUGAGGAUCUGUCCUAUACAGUGGUGGACAACAGAUGGAAACGUCUGCUAAUACCGCAUAAGCCUAAGGGUAAAGGAGAGAUUCUUAUAGGAGGAACUCGCGUCUAUCAGCUAGUAGGUGAGGUAACGGCUCACCUAGGCGAAGACGGGUAGCCGGCCUGAGAGGGCGAACGGCAACACUGGAACUGAGAUACGGUCCAGACUCCUACGGGAGGCAGCAGUCGGGGAAUAUUGGGCAAUUGGGGGAAACCCUGACCAGCGACGUCGCAGUUGAGUGAACGAAAUCCCUCGGGGAAUGUAAAAGCUCUGUUGUACGGGAAGAGAAAGCAGACGGUACCGUCACGAGGAAGCCCCGGCAACCUACGUUGCCAGCAGCCGCGGUA
rnacentral:rRNA from 1 species